rnacentral:lncRNA from 1 species
CGAGACUGAGAAAAGUCCUGAGAUGAAACCCAGGACAACAGAAGGCAGGAAAAGCCCUGGGUGGGCAGGAAGAUUCCAGAGCACGCUGUGGCUGACAAGGGCGACAGGCAGCAGUGUGGAGCCGGGGAGGCUGGGGGUGGCCCUGUCUUCUGGGCGGCGGCCCCCAGAACCAGCUGGCAGCAAGCCUCGUAUACAAGGUAAGACCACAGAGCCUGGCAGUGGUUUGGAAUUCGUUCUUCUCUUUUGUUAAAAGGGGGAAAGGAAGUGGAUGCGGGUACCCCCAGGUGCAGGGGAGGCAUGCAGGCAGCCCCAGCAGGCAGGCGCUGGGAGGCGGUGGGAAGAGUCCUGGAGUUUCCCACAAUCCUUUUCUCUGCAAGGAACAGCAACGCUGGCUGACGAGGGGGUGGGGAGGAGGCAGGGCCCUGGGGAGGGGGCGGCGGGCAGGGGGCUGGGGGCUCACACUAACAUGCAAAGUCCAGCUGCCCCAGGAACUAGGUUGCUUCUGAAGAGCGACACACGUAGAAAUACACAGAUACGGCCACGCGCACACAUGCGGAGAGGCUCUGCAUUCCCUAGGGUGGGGGUCGAGGCCUGCCGGCCCCCAAGGAGCUCCAAGCCAGGGAUCAGCGAUGUCUCCGCCAGGGUGGUCCUCCACGGCACCCCUGGGCUGGGCUGGGCAGGUACGUCUUCGAAGGAAGGCUGCGUGGUCUCUGAAGUUCUGUCCGCCAGGCACCCAGGCCGCUCUGAACCACUCCAUGUGCCGGGGCCGCUGGGGCCAUGACCUUGCGUGUGGGCAGCUGCGUGUUCUGGCACCAGACGUGUCCCUGCCUGGCUAGAGUCCGCGCUCUCCCCUCCAGGGCUCCGGGGAACAAGGGGUGCAGACAGAAAAGGGGUGAAGGGGGCCCGCAGAGACGUCCUCUCCCCCGCCCCACGGGGUCCUGGCCUCCGGGAGGGGGGAGGGGCCUCCCUUAUCUCUCUGCCUCCAUGGCAGGGUGGGCCCUGGGUUCUGAGGUGGCCUGUUG